rnacentral:RNase_P_RNA from 1 species
CGGGGGAGCCGGGUGAUCGCCCCGGUGGGCCGCAAGGUCACACCGGGGAGGAAAGUCCGGACUCCCAGGGCAGCGCGCUCGCCGAACUCUCAUCUGCGGAUGGGGGAACGAGGCGAGGCCCCGAGGGCAACAUCCUUCGGGGACGGACAGUGCCACAGAGAAGGAACCGCCUCGCGGCUCGGUCCGGAAACGGAUGCGCCCCCGGAAAGACCGGGGGCGACGCCGAAGGUAAGGGUGAAAAGGUGGGGUAAGAGCCCACCGGGCCGAUGGCGACAUCGGCCGCACGGAAAACCCCGCGCGGAGCAAGACCAAAUAGGGGAGGAGGGCUGGCCCGGCCCGUGGCCAUACGGCCGUGACUCCCGGGUAGGUCGCCCAGAGGAAUGAUCACCCUCCGGGCCAGCGCAAGCGGGCUCCGGGGACAGAAUCCGGCUUACAGGCUCCUCCGCCAC